rnacentral:lncRNA from 1 species
AUGGGGUUGCAAAGAGUCAGACACGACUGAGCGACUGAACUGACUGAACUCUCAUAGAGGGGAGGAAGGAGAGGGCCAGAGGCAUUCAGUGACUUGCUGGAGGACUCUGAUGUUAUUGGGGCUGAGCCGGUUGCAGGGUUAGGGCAAGUCCUGGCGGGAAUGCCGUGGGUACCAGCUGAGUCUGGGGGAGACCACGGGAGAAGGUGCAGAGAGUGCUUUGCUUGUACCUUCAGCUGUGAGUUUGUGGAGAGGCGGGAGGCCUGGGAGACAGCUGGACUUCAAAGGCACCUGAGUGUGUAACCUUGACCCCCUUUCUUUUGUUCAGCUGCAGGAAAAGAAGGGCCAGUUCUAAGAGGUCUCACUGUACAGCUCUCUCCGAAUGUCUGCUCUUUGAGACCGAGUUCUGAGUGGAGUCCUGUGCUGUCGGACUGGCGGCUGCCUUUCUUCCCUGGCGGUGUGUGUGUUCUCCGUGUUUCCAGGCGAGCUCCCGUACAAAGAUGGAACCUGCCACAGAAAAUUUUCAGUAACUUGCUGGAGGUUAUUUGGGUGGUAAAUGGUAGGACAUGCGUCCAGGGAGAUGCUACAGGGAUCUUCAACAUCCAGUUCUUUGUUCUUAAUCGUUGGAUUGAAGACCCAGAACUAAAGUUCUCACAAAUCUAAUUGAUUAUAUUGCGUGCGUGCCAAGUCACUUCAGUUGUGUCCGACUCAUUGCGACCCAGUGGACUGUAGCCCACCAGGCCCCUCUGUCCAUGGGAUUCUCCAGGUAAGANNNNNNNNNNNNNNNNNNNNNNNNNNNNNNNGGGAAUCUCCCCAACCCCUGGAUAAAAUCCGCAUCUCUAAUGCCUCCUGCAUUGGCAGGUGAGUUCUUUACCAUCUGCCCCAUUAUAGAGAUGCCUGUAUUUUGUCUUGGAAACUGCUCAAGAAUGUCAGUAUCAGAGGCCGUAAACUUUUCAUGCAAGAUUGUAAGUCUUAAGCCAGGGAGCUCAAUUUGUGUUACCUGACACUUUGAGGUGGGCUGGAGGUAGAGAAUGAGCUAUGUAAAUAGCUCCUAAGGCGGUGAUCUCUAGGGGGUGCUUGUGUUUACCUUGGAGAAGAGUUUAGGGUGACAGGCUCUUUGAGUGCUUCUUGUGUUUUGAAUUUCAUCAGAGUCAGUUCUUUA